rnacentral:rRNA from 1 species
GACGAACGCUGGCGGCGUGCCUAAUACAUGCAAGUCGAGCGCAGGAAGCAGACUGAAAUCUUCGGAUGGACGUUUGUGGAAUGAGCGGCGGAUGGGUGAGUAACACGUGGGUAACCUGCCUGUAAGCUUGGGAUAACUCCGGGAAACCGGUGCUAAUACCAAAUGAAGAUGAAGUUCGCAUGAACUUCAGAUGAAAGGCGGCUUUUAGCUGUCACUUACAGAUGGACCCGCGGCGCAUUAGCUAGUUGGUGAGGUAAUGGCUCACCAAAGCAACGAUGCGUAGCCGACCUGAGAGGGUGAACGGCCACACUGGGACUGAGACACGGCCCAGACUCCUACGGGAGGCAGCAGUAGGGAAUCUUCCGCAAUGGACGAAAGUCUGACGGAGCGACGCCGCGUGAGUGAUGAAGGUCUUAGGAUCGUAAAACUCUGUUGUUAGGGAAGAACAAGUACCGGGCUAAUACCCCUGUACCUUGACGGUACCUAACCAGAAAGCCCCGGCUAACUACGUGC